UACAGAGGUCCCAAGCGUUGUUCGGAUUCACUGGGCGUAAAGGGUGCGUAGGUGGUGAGGUAAGUCGGAUGUGAAAUCUCCGAGCUCAACUCGGAAAUGGCAUUGGAAACUACCUUGCUCGAGGGUUGGAGGGGGACUGGAAUUCGUCGGUGUAGCAGUGAAAUGCGUAGAUAUCGAGAGGAACACCAGUGGCGAAGGCGAGUCCCUGGACAACUCCUGACACUGAGGCACGAAAGCUAGGGGAGCAAACAGG
rnacentral:rRNA from 1 species